GACGAACGCUGGCGGCGUGCCUAAUACAUGCAAGUAGAACGCUGAAGGAGGAGCUUGCUUCUCUGGAUGAGUUGCGAACGGGUGAGUAACGCGUAGGUAACCUGCCUGGUAGCGGGGGAUAACUAUUGGAAACGAUAGCUAAUACCGCAUAAUAGUAGAUGUUGCAUGACAUUUGCUUAAAAGGUGCAAUUGCAUCACUACCAGAUGGACCUGCGUUGUAUUAGCUAGUUGGUGGGGUAACGGCUCACCAAGGCGACGAUACAUAGCCGACCUGAGAGGGUGAUCGGCCACACUGGGACUGAGACACGGCCCAGACUCCUACGGGAGGCAGCAGGAGGGAAUCUUCAGCAAUGGACGGAAGUCUGACCGAGCAACGCCGCGUGAGUGAAGAAGGUUUUCGGAUCGUAAAGCUCUGUUGUAAGAGAAGAACGAGUGUGAGAGUGGAAAGUUCACACUGUGACGGUAUCUUAACAGAAAGGGACGGCUAACUACGUG
rnacentral:rRNA from 1 species